rnacentral:lncRNA from 1 species
GAGAGAGAGAGAUGCAGAGAUGGUGAGCCAGACAGGGGGAAACAGAGACAAUGACAGACUGAAACAGAGAGACAGUGAGAGACUCAGAGACUGAGACAGAGAGAUGGUGACCAUAAGAGAUGGUGAGCCAGGGACAAGAGACAGCAAGUGAUAGGAGUGAGAGAAACAGAGAUGCAGAGACGGUGAACCAGAGACAGAGAGGGGGUGGGGGUGGGGGACAAAGACGAGAGACUUACAGAAAGUGAGCAAAAGAGACAGUGAAAAAACAUGGGAGAGGCAGAGGCCCUCAAAGCUUCAAAUAAAUGAGUAUCUAAAUCAAAAUUUCAGAGAGGGAUGAGGGCUAUGAAGGCAACAGCACAGGGAGAUGGGAGAGGGAGUAACAGGGAGUGUCACCUUUAACCAACAGGUUGGGGCGUUCUUGGAAAAAUGUGGUUAGGAGGUGAAGAAGAGCCAGCCACAGAGAAGAAGAGCCUUUCAGCAGAGGGAACCACAUGUGCAAAGGUCCUGAGGUGGAAACCAGCUUGGAUUAUGUGAAUAGCAGUCAGGGAUCCGGCGGGGGGGGGGGGGGGGGGGGGGGGGGGGGGGGGGGGGCUGGAAGGAGGGGUGGGUGAGAGGGGCCUAGGGAAGGGUGGGAUUUUAUCUCGGCCACCCCCCUCUAUGCCCUAUGGGCCUCACUCUGUGUUCAGGGGGUUCCCUGAAUUCUGGAUGACCCAAGCCAGCUCCAUUCUGAUUUUCAUUUAUCUGAACCGGAUAAUCCACCUCUUAAGGGAUCAGGUUCCAGACAGUUGCAGAUGCAGAAGUCCCGGGGACGCGUGAUGGCUUGUCCUCCCAAGCCUGCCAGGGGAAACUUUUGUAACAAACACCUUACUCUUCUGUUUGGGGACAGAGUUCUGGAGACUGGGAUCUUGGGUCUUGCACACCAGGGCGACAGGGGAGCUCACCCCCUCCUGAGGCUAUUUUGGAGGUCUGGGUGACCUGGUCUGUGCUGUGGGUACAUCUCCCCUCUGCUGGGCCCAAAGGAACCCCAAAUCUGACGGGUUCAAAGCUGGAUGCCAGGUCAGCUGCUGAGGGCAGACGCCGCUGGACAGGGAGGGCUGGGCAAAACCCGGGGCCGGAAGUCGGUGGGGAUCAGGACCCAAAUUCACACCACGGGUGGGAGACAACUGAGGCUGUGGCAGGGAGGUGUCCCAAGAGUCUCGGGUGAGGAAACUGGCUCAGUGUCACGUGACUUGCCCUCGCCCGUAGGUCACUCAGAAAGCUAAGCCUGAACCCACACCUGCCAGGGUCCAGCCCCUGGGUGCCCUCGUCCUCCUCCCUGUUCCUCAGCCCCGCCAAUGGUCACCCCAGACUGCCAGUUAAUUCUCACUGCCUGGGGCAAAUGGGUGAACACAGCCGGGACUAUUAAAACGGGGUUCUAAUUGGGCCCAGCCCUGUGGGGGCGGGGCCUCGGGUCGGGGGCGGGGCCUGAGCGCCGGCUCGGCUGGGAGCCCCUCCGGGAGCCCACCUGUGAGCCUGGCGGUUCCGAGUGGGGACUCCGGACCCUGCACGAGUCACCUCACUCUGUUGGACUCCCUUUCCCUACCCGCAGCUCCAGAAGAAUGACGACCUCCAUGCCAACAAAUCCGUGCACACGCGUGCCCAAAGCAGCCCUGUUCGCCGUUGCCCAAAUGUCUAUCGAGGAGUGAAGGGAGAAUCCAAAUGUAGUCCAUCCACGCUAAAGAAUAUUAUUUGGCCACAAAAAGUUACGAAACGUUGACACACGCUGCCACGUGGGUGAAAACGUGGACGAAAACGUGGACGUUUAUGCUGAGUGCAAGCCGGGCCGGAGAGGCCACACGGAGCAUGAUGCCAUCUACGUGAAAUGCCCAGAACGGGAAAAUCCACAGAGGCAGGAGGCAGAUGAGUGGGUGCCAGGAGUGAGGGAGGGGGUGGGUGGGGGUGACUGCUAACAGGGGCGGGGUCUCCUUUGGGGAGGUGAUGGGUGCACACCGCACGUGUGAGUGCACAAAACGCUACCAAACUGUAUGCUUUAAAGGGGUUCAUUUCAUGGCAUAGAAGUUUCAUCUGAAUAAAAACAAAAAGCGGUUCAAACUCAAGAGAAGCAAGAUCCACCUGUCCCGGGGCGCCCCUGCCCGGCCAGCUUUUUUCCUCUCUGAGGCCUCUGUCUGCCUUCCCCCGUUCAAGUUCCUAGCCUCUGUGACUGUGCUAGGGAAGGGGCAUGGGGUCCAGCUCCAACCUGAGCUCAGCCUCCCUUUGUGUCCCUGGGCCUCAGUUUCUCCUUCUGGACAAGGGGCCCCUCCGCCCUCCUCGGCCUGGAGUUUGACCCUUGAGAUCCUGACGCAAGAUGGAGGUCAUGGCCACUCAGCUCCCUUGGCAGCUGGGGGAAAUAAACCAGUAAACCCAGUCUCGUUCCCCACGCUUUUAUUUAAAAAAAAAAAAAAAAAAAUCUGUAAAAAAGAGAACAAUUUAAGGCUUAUCAAAAAUGAUGAGUCCCAGGCGGGGGCCCCGCCCCCAGCUACGGCUGAGACUCUCCAACUGGGGGCUUGUCCAGCUGCCCCCUCACACUUUGUCCCUCCAGGAUACAGGAGGGCUCCAGAGGCUCACUGGUCCUCCUGUGUUACCCCAGGCUGACCUCUGACCCCAAGGUCUGGCUUAAUAUUCUGAACCGGGUUUCCCUGGUCAUACAAUACCCAGGCAAGUCGCAUGUCCUGGAGUACUUGGAGGAGCCCCCAGGCAGGCCCAGCCUAGGCCAGGAAUCUCUCUCUGGCUUUCAAAGGCUGGAGGGGGGCCGGGGUGGCUCAGUCGGUUAAGCGUUCGUUCAGCCCUUGAUCUCUGCUCAGGUCAUGACCUCACCAUCCGUGGGUUCAAGCCCCGAGCUGGGCUCUGCGCUGUCGGCACGGAGCCCGCUAGGGAUUCUCUCUCCUCUCCCUCUCUCUCUGCCCCUCCCCUGCUCGUGCGCUCUCUCAAAAUAAAUAAAUGCUUUUAAAAAACAAACAAAACAAAGGCUGGAGCAGUGGUCUCCUGCCACCCAUAAGCCCCACGGAGCUCCAAUGACCCGCUUCCCUGAAUGCCUCACUCUUGGGCCCUCUCGCCUGCCGGCCCUUGCCGUGUGGCCUCAACGGAGGCACUCGCUUUCUGAGCCCCAGUUCUAAGAUGAAGGGGGUGAUCUCCAAACAUCGCUCAGCUCUGACCUUCUCCGACUUCUUCCUCCUCCUGCUUGUCUGCCUGCUGGGCCGCUAUUCACACGCCACCGCCUCAGCCAGAACGCCCUCUGCUCCGGGAAGCCCUCUCUGCUCCCGUCUGGACUCUCCCGGUCCUGGGUCUCUUCCUCUGGUCCCACGGGACCGGAAGCGUUUACGUCUGGCGACGUCUCUCCCAGACCAGAGGCUCCCGGGGGACCCGAGCCCUGUCCACAGGCCGGCGUAGACAAGACGGGAUCCGACAAGGGGCAUCAGAUGCCUCGCGAGGGCCAGUCCACGUCAGUCAGGUUCCAGACUCUUCCCCCGUCCUGGGUUAUGUCGGAAAGCCCUGCCCUGUUCCGAGCCGCGGAUUCCCCAACAUCAGCGCAGUCCGGUCGGGCCGCUCUCGAUCCAGCCAUUCCCCAUGUCCACGGAGGCCGGAAGCCUGUGUGUACCCGCAUCCCUCGAGGUAUUCACUUGCCCCUCAGCAGGUCAUGGAGCGUGGCCUCAUGGCCUCUGAGGGUGGGUUUGGAUCCU